GAUUGACAGGGGUGAUAACCAACCAGGGAAGGAAGGAGGGAACAUGAGAUCAGGAGGGACCAAUGAGAGAAACAUCUGCAGUGCAGCAAACGUGAACAAAUAGAAAAAAGGGCAUAAUUCUGAGGGGAAAAAUAUGAAAUUCGAUAAAAACUGGGGUACAACAAAUAGCGAACGUGCAUUAACAAUUCUAAUUAAUAACAGUCUCUGUCUUAACCGCAUCAUGUUAUAUAUCUUCAAAUCAUAUCUUCAUUCGUCGCUGUUCUCAGCCAUAACUUCUUGCAGCCGUCUUUUUCCAUUCAAUAAACUUUUCUUCCUCACUUUCUGUUGCCCUCCGCAUUUAUUUUUUUCUCCCUCUUUUUCAGUACAAUUAUUAGUUUUAGUAGUAGUAAUUUAUUCAGCAGUAGUAAUUUAUUUUGUGUCAGUUAAUAAACACUUCUUAUUUCAAUCCACAAAGUUUCCUUUCCACUUCUCCUCCCUGGAGGAGUGAGUGGCUAUGUGGUACUUAGUUGCCAGCUGGGGUCAAACCAUGACAGCAAGAAUGACAUUUUCUAUAUUUCCCACUCAAGAUCCAUCAUAAGCAAAUGAAAAACAAAGGAAAAAAAAUUUCAAAGCAUUUCCCACCUUUCAUUAGAAAUGUUACUGUAUUAACCUACAGAUUGUAUUGCAGCCCUGAUGUCAUGGCAGUCCAUGUGCUAAGCCAGAGAGCAGACUGUUUAGGAAGGAGUUACAGCCUCAUUGGGAUAAAAAGCUCUUCUGGAAAGAUGGUCUCCAUCCACAUGAGUAACGGACUAAGCUAAACUUCAACGAGGAACUGUUUUUUACUUUUCUUCUGCAUUCUUAUUCUGAACAAAAACACCAUAACUUUUUUGUCCCAAUUAACAAAUUAGGUUAAACUGUUAUGUAUUAGGUAAUCACCUCCUGAUAGACAUCAGUAUGACAUGAAUUCUUACUUUAAUUCUCUCCCUCUACCCAGAGGUCCCUUAAAUGGACAAAAUAAAGGCCAUUUGGCAAAAAAUGCAAAAUAAAUGGACACAUAGUAGAAUAUUUUUGCAGUUACAAGCUGGUUCACUAGAAACACAGACACACAGUAAAAAUGGAGACAGAAGUUAAUGAAGAAUGGGAGAUACAUGUGUCACAUUAUUAGCAAUGCAAAAGACCAGCUUAAGCAUGUGUUUCCCUACAUCAGCUAUAAAAAAGAAAAGGUGCCUUUUUAGCAAGUAUGCACAGAGUUUGCUUUGUUAUUUCUAAGAAAAAAAAUCAGAACACUUCACUAUUUUUAUUCUAUAUUACAGUCAUUAUUACUACCUGUUUAUAAAAUGUAAACCCUUCCUUGCAGUUAAGAUUUACAGAAGUCAUCACCUUUGUCCACUCCUUACAUAAUCAGUCCAUGGUGACAAAAAUAAACUGAUUUAUUUUACAUA